AAGUAAAAGUCGUAACAAGGUUUCCGUAGGUGAACCUGCGGAAGGAUCAUUACAAGAGUUUAUUCAGUGGCGAAUGCCCUGAACAUCUCCACCCUUUGUUUACACUACCUUUGUUGUUGCCUUGGUGGGUGCCUUUUGGCACCUGCCGGCAGACACCUUUAAAACCCUUUUUAUUAGUAUAGUCAGAGCUGUAACAAGCAAAAGAUUAAUAAAUCAAAACUUUCAACAACGGAUCUCUUGGUUCUGGCAUCGAUGAAGAACGCAGCGAAAUGCGAUAAGUAAUGUGAAUUGCAGAAUUCAGUGAAUCAUCGAAUCUUUGAACGCACAUUGCGCCCUUUGGUAUUCCGAAGGGCACACCUGUUCGAGCGUCAUUACACCAAUCAAGUCUUACUUGGUAUUGGGUCAUGUCCCUAGGGACAGGCCUUAAAGUCAUUGGCGGCAUAGUCUGGCUUCAAGCGUAGCAAAAAACAUCGCUUUUGGGGACCUUACUAGUACUUGCUUAAUGAAUUAUCAUUUUUUCAAAGGUUGACCUCGGAUCAGGUGGGGAUACCCGCUGAACUUAAGCAUAUCA
rnacentral:rRNA from 1 species